CAGCAGCCACGGUAAUACGUAGGGUGCAAGCGUUAAUCGGAAUUACUGGGCGUAAAGCGUGCGCAGGCGGUUCUAUAAGACAGAUGUGAAAUCCCCGGGCUCAACCUGGGAACUGCGCUUGUGACUGCACAGCUAGAGUAUGGCAGAGGGGGGUGGAAUUCCACGUGUAGCAGUGAAAUGCGUAGAGAUGUGGAGGAACACCGAUGGCGAGGGCAGCCCCCUGGGCCAAUACUGACGCUCAUGCACGAAAGCGUGGGGAGCAAACAGGAUUAGAUACCCCCGUAGUCCCUGUCUCUUAUAC
rnacentral:rRNA from 1 species